rnacentral:rRNA from 1 species
AAUCUUCCGCAAUGGACGAAAGUCUGACGGAGCAACGCCGCGUGAACGAAGAAGGCCUUCGGGUCGUAAAGUUCUGUUGUUAGGGAAGAACAAGUACCAGAGUAACUGCUGGUACCUUGACGGUACCUAACCAGAAAGCCACGGCUAACUACGUGCCAGCAGCCGCGGUAAUACGUAGGUGGCAAGCGUUGUCCGGAAUUAUUGGGCGUAAAGCGCGCGCAGGCGGUUUCUUAAGUCUGAUGUGAAAGCCCACGGCUCAACCGUGGAGGGUCAUUGGAAACUGGGGAACUUGAGUGCAGAAGAGGAGAGUGGAAUUCCACGUGUAGCGGUGAAAUGCGUAGAGAUGUGGAGGAACACCAGUGGCGAAGGCGACUCUCUGGUCUGUAACUGACGCUGAGGCGCGAAAGCGUGGGGAGCGAACAGGAUUAGAUACCCUGGUAGUCCACGCCGUAAACGAUGAGUGCUAAGUGUUAGAGGGUUUCCGCCCUUUAGUGCUGCAGCAAACGCAUUAAGCACUCCGCCUGGGGAGUACGGUCGCAAGACUGAAACUCAAAG